ACCGGAGCACUGAAGAAGACGCCGAAUCUGACCGGAGCACUGAAGAAGACGACUGAGGCCUCGGCCGGAUCUGACCGGAGCACUGAAGAAGACGACAGAGCUUUUGAUUUGUAUGUAUGUAUAUAUACAUGUAUAUACCAAAAGAGAAGAUGGAAGAGAGAAAUAGAAGGUGGGGAAAAUAUGAUUAUAAAUCCUGUUAAUGGUAAUGGUG
rnacentral:lncRNA from 1 species